rnacentral:rRNA from 1 species
GAGUGGCGGACGGGUGAGUAACGCGUGGGUAACCUGCCUUGUACAGGGGGAUAACAGUUGGAAACGGCUGCUAAUACCGCAUAAGCGCACGGCAUCGCAUGAUGCAGUGUGAAAAACUCCGGUGGUAUAAGAUGGACCCGCGUUGGAUUAGCUAGUUGGUGAGGUAACGGCCCACCAAGGCGACGAUCCAUAGCCGGCCUGAGAGGGUGAACGGCCACAUUGGGACUGAGACACGGCCCAGACUCCUACGGGAGGCAGCAGUGGGGAAUAUUGCACAAUGGGGGAAACCCUGAUGCAGCGACGCCGCGUGAAGGAAGAAGGUCUUCGGAUUGUAAACUCCUGUUGUUGAGGAAGAUAAUGACGGUACUCAACAAGGAAGUGACGGCUAACUACGUGCCAGCAGCCGCGGUAAAACGUAGGUCACAAGCGUUGUCCGGAAUUACUGGGUGUAAAGGGAGCGCAGGCGGGAGAACAAGUUGGAAGUGAAAUCCAUGGGCUCAACCCAUGAACUGCUUUCAAAACUGUUUUUCUUGAGUAGUGCAGAGGUAGGCGGAAUUCCCGGUGUAGCGGUGGAAUGCGUAGAUAUCGGGAGGAACACCAGUGGCGAAGGCGGCCUACUGGGCACCAACUGACGCUGAGGCUCGAAAGUGUGGGUAGCAAACAGGAUUAGAUACCCUGGUAGUCCACACCGUAAACGAUGAUUACUAGGUGUUGGAGGAUUGACCCCUUCAGUGCCGCAGUUAACACAAUAAGUAAUCCACCUGGGGAGUACGACCGCAAGGUUGAAACUCAAAGGAAUUGACGGGGGCCCGCACAAGCAGUGGAGUAUGUGGUUUAAUUCGACGCAACGCGAAGAACCUUACCAAGUCUUGACAUCCCUUGACGAUGCUGGAAACAGUAUUUCUCUUCGGAGCAAGGAGACAGGUGGUGCAUGGUUGUCGUCAGCUCGUGUCGUGAGAUGUUGGGUUAAGUCCCGCAACGAGCGCAACCCUUAUGGUCAGUUACUACGCAAGAGGACUCUGGCCAGACUGCCGUUGACAAAACGGAGGAAGGUGGGGAUGACGUCAAAUCAUCAUGCCCUUUAUGACUUGGGCUACACACGUACUACAAUGGCUGGUAACAGAGUGAAGCGAGACGGCGACGUUAAGCAAAUCACAAAAACCCAGUCCCAGUUCGGAUUGUAGUCUGCAACUCGACUACAUGAAGCUGGAAUCGCUAGUAAUCGCGAAUCAGAAUGUCGCGGUGAAUACGUUCCCGGGCCUUGCACACACCGCCCGUCA